rnacentral:rRNA from 1 species
GGGAUUGCCCCAGUAACGGCGAGUGAAGCGGCAACAGCUCAAAUUUGAAAUCUGGCCCCCGGGUCCGAGUUGUAAUUUGCAGAGGAUGCUUUGGGCGAGGUGCCUUCCGAGUUCCCUGGAACGGGACGCCACAGAGGGUGAGAGCCCCGUCUGGUCGGACACCGAGCCCGUGUAAAGCUCCUUCGACGAGUCGAGUAGUUUGGGAAUGCUGCUCAAAAUGGGAGGUAUAUGUCUUCUAAAGCUAAAUAUUGGCCAGAGACCGAUAGCGCACAAGUAGAGUGAUCGAAAGAUGAAAAGCACUUUGAAAAGAGGGUUAAAAAGUACGUGAAAUUGUUGAAAGGGAAGCGCCUAUGACCAGACUUGGGCCCGGUGAAUCAUCCAGCGUUCUCGCUGGUGCACUUUGCCGGGCACAGGCCAGCAUCAGUUUGGCGCGGGGGACAAAGGCUUCGGGAAUGUGGCUCCCUCGGGAGUGUUAUAGCCCGCUGCGUAAUACCCUGCGCCGGACUGAGGUACGCGCAUCGCAAGGAUGCUGGCGUAAUGGUCAUCAGCGACCCGUCUUGAAACACGGACCAAGGAGUCGUCUUCGUAUGCGAGUGUUCGGGUGUCAAACCCCUACGCGGAAUGAAAGUGAACGCAGGUGAGAGCUUCGGCGCAUCAUCGACCGAUCCUGAUGUUCUCGGAUGGAUUUGAGUAAGAGCAUACGGGGCCGGACCCGAAAGAAGGUGAACUAUGCCUGUAUAGGGUGAAGCCAGAGGAAACUCUGGUGGAGGCUCGCAGCGGUUCUGACGUGCGAAUCGAUCGUCAAAUAUGGGCAUGGGGGCGAAAGACUAAUCGAACCUUCUAGUAGCUGGU